GAAGUAUCUUUGCUGUUGCUGCGCUAUAUUAAAUCAAAAUCGAAAUGGUUAUUUAUUUUGAUUGAGCCAACAGGGCCGCUAAGAUUUAAGUUCAUCUUCAAGCGGUAGUAAGCAGCUCGUACAAA